GAAGCCACUGACCCCCUAACAAUAUGACAAUCAGUUUGCCGCAGUAAGAACCUUUCUUUUACGAUCUAUGGUUAGAACACAGCAUGAAGUUACAAACUCGUGUACAGUAGGUGGCGGUAUGCACCUAAAAGUUGGUUGCAAUCAGACAAUAAUCAAGAGAAGAAGAAGAAGAUUGCCGAAGUAGAAGUUACUCAGCCCACAGUUUGCUUGCUAGCAAAGUCAUCGACUACCGUCGUAUAACAAGCUUUAUGGAAAAGAACGUGACAUACAACAUGCCUGGAUUGGUUUGGUGCACCUCCUCAGACAAGAAGCCAAAAAGUAUGGUGUCCUUGAUAACAUAUCAUGCUUCCCAUUUGAAAACUUCCUUGGCAUGGGUGUCUUAAUAAACAAUAGACAGUCAUCGCUCAGUUGUUGGCCCUUGGACUCCCCUGUCACCUCUUGUACAGCAUGAGGUUUUCUGCUAUGAAGAUUUACAGAGACUCCAGAAC